UUCUUAGGUUUGAUUUUGUUUUUGUUAGUUUUGACCUUGGAUAUUGUUAGGGUUUUAAAUGAUUGUUCUUUUGGGUCAACUAUUAUUCUUUGUGUACAUAUGGGUGUUUUGCAUUUAAUUUGUUGGCAGCACUUAUUGGCAGCCCCCUGGAGUUUUGGUUUGAAUUUUCUGUUUUAA